GUUCUGAAACCAGCGUCUCUGGUUACAACCAAAGAGGUUGCUCAGUCACACUCCUGAAAGGCAAAAGGAGGUUGGCCAGUAAAAAAGAUGUAAACCCUAGAUGUAGUUCUUAGUGUGGAAGCCACAGGAGAACUUCCAAUGUGGCCACGGGGAUCGCCGAGGCUUUUAUGCAGGGGAGUUCAGCCUACACCCAGGAAUGCACAAGGACAGCUUGGAGCUUAGAAGCAAGUGGAGUUGGUUCAUCUCUUUCACUGGCUCAUAAUUUUGCAACGGCGGUUUCAUCUCUACCCUGACAAUACCUUUUAGUUUUCUUACCCACUGGGGUCGAGACUUAAUUGAAGACCUCAGACGGACAGCAUAACACGGAACCUGAGACCUUGAUUUGCGGGGACAGGCUUAAAGUGUAUUCUGGAGUUGGUGCCCCCACCCCAGGGGCCGGCUCAGAGGGUUCACUUUCCAGCCUAACGGCAGGGGAACCAGAGGCUGCCGACCUGGAUCUCACCUUGAUGGAGGUCUUGUCACCUUCCUCCUUGGCUGGAGAGACAGACUGUGGAUGCUCUCCUGCUGGCCACCCAAAAACAACAAACAGACAAACAAAUAUGAAUGAGGAAAACUUGAAGAGGCCCCACGUGCCAGAGGUGGGACAGCUUGAGAUUUGGUGAGGAUAAUUGCAGUGGCUCAAAACCCAUAAAGAAGUUUAAGUCCAUGAGUUCACCGUAAUCUGAAACAAAAACAAAAACAAAAACAAAUUGAUCAUCUUUGGAGGCUAACAAUCAAUUCAUUAUCUAGAGACAGACAGAGGCUCACUAGUGGCACGAUCUUGGCUGAUUGCAUCUUCCACCUCCUGGGUUCAAGAGAUUCUUGUGCCUUAGCUUCCUGAGUAGCUAAGAUUACAGGUGUGCACCACCACGCCCGGCUAAUUUUUGUAUUUUUAGUUGAGAUGAGGUUUCACCAUGUUGGCCAGGCUGGUCUCGAACUCCUGACCUCAAGUGAUCUGCCCGCCCCGGCCUCCCAAAGUGCUGGGAUUACAGGCGUGAGCUACUGUGGCCGGCCACAUUUCCCUUCUGGUGCGCGUCCUCCUGUAGCUGUGGGAUCAGGGGAGGUAGAGAUGUCUUGUAACUGACUCAAGUUUGGCUGCUUGCCGCAGGAGAAGCGAGGUGUGGUGAAAGGAAAGCAACUUUUAUUCAGAUGCUAGCAGGUGGGAGAGUGGCCAGGCUCAAGGCUCUAAGGAACCAUCUCAGCUUUUUGGACUGCGUGAAGGGCUUUAGGAAGGAGAACUCGGUGUGGGAGACAUGUGGGAGUAGGGCAGUGGUGCAGGUGUCUUGAGUAAUUGCCCAUCCGGAGGUCUAGUUGGCAUCAUCUUGACCUUGGUCUGGUGGUGGUGGACUCAUUGUUCAUAACUCCCCUAGACAGGAGGAUUCCACAGCUGGGUUCUAUGCCUGGUUUAUUUAAAAAUGAGCCCCUGGCAUUUCUAAGCAGGCACAGAAUGAGAUAAGUGAGCACUGUGGCUGGUGGGAAAGGGAGGGAAACAGGUUUAAAGUAUGUUUCAAGGCUGCAUUCUGAGACUAGGAGGGAAAGGAAGAAAAACUUUAAAAUUCUUCUCAAGGCUGAGAUAUUUGACUACAGUCUCAUGCCCAAAAUGUUUCUAUUCUACACUGAGACCUGAUAGAUAAUUUGGCUGCAUACCUGGAGUCCAGUGUGUGCACCUGCCCCUCCCAUCCCAUACUCGCAGCCAGUGGAAAAGUCUGCAAAAGGAAGCCAGCUGGGAGUGCCCACCAGAGUCAAAGUCUGGGGCAGGCUGGUGGACUCAAGAGGAGUCUUAAAUAUUGGAAAUGUCAUCACAAACCAUCUGGGAAGCCCCCUCCUCUUAAAAAGGACAUAAAGUCAAAGUGAACAGGUGUGCUCACUCCAAGCCCGUGCCCACAACCACAGUGCCCUUCACAUUCAGAGUCAUGGCCACUAGCCACAAAAUUGUGACUUACAGUUCACAAAAUUGGGACAUAUUUACAUGUUGACUAAGUUGGGAAAUAAUUUGGAUUUUCUUUAAAAGUAGUAAAAGUAAAGAAGAAAAAGUCAAAAAGGUCUGACAUCUAAGAGGGUGAAAUUUCCUUACUUUAGAUCACAAGCAAUCAGGCUGAUCCCGCCUGAGCCCUGAGCUCCCUGGGACCCAGCAGCAGCUGUGCAUUGGCACGUGGUGCCCUGUGUCUGAUCAGCUGACUCCUCAGGCAAAACCUGCACCAUUUUCACCAGAAUUGCAGAUGUCCUCAGUGUCAUUACAAAGUUCCUAAGUCAUGACCAUUCUGUCCUGUGGAACCAGGCUGGACUAAGCUCCCAUUUCUUUAAGCCAUCCUGUCCCCUGCAGGGACUUCCAAGGUGGAGCUGAUGAGCAAUAGUUAUGAGUCAUUGGAGGAGACAUCCCAGAGGCGCCAGCUCCCCUCUGCCCUAAACUGAAAUUAAGACCUGGUGCUCUGGGUGGGGCCCCUGGAAGGGGAUGUGCAACUCAGAGGGGACCUUCUCCACCUCCACCCAGGAGACCCCAGAGGGACCAUGGCAGAGCCGGAGCCCUCUUUUUUUUUGUUCGUUUUUUAUUUUAUUAUUAUUAUACUUUAAGUUUUAGCCCUCUUUUAAAAACCAAAUGAAAAUAAGCAAAAGAAGCCAAUCGUCUCUGUGAAAUGUCCAGAAGAGGGAACUCUGUAGAGACAGAGAGGAUAUUAUUGGCUGCCGGAGGCUGGGAAUGGGAAGGUGAGGGGCCUGGGGAGGUGAUGGUUAAAAGAUUCUUCUUUGUGGUGAUGAAAUUGUCUUAAAAUGGACUGUGGUGAUAGUUGUGCAACUUGGUGAAUAUAUAAGUUAUUGAAUUGUACACUUUAAAUGGGUGAAUUGUAUGGUGUGUGAAACAUAUCUCAAUAAAGCUGUUAUUUGAAAAAUAAAAAAAAAAAAAA
rnacentral:lncRNA from 1 species